GUAAAAUCAAACAUUAAUCGUUUUCUCUGGAAUUCAUCCUUCCCACUAUUGACAUCUUUUCUUAAACAUAGACCUGAUGAAGCCACUCCUUUGCCAGAAAGCACCAGUGGCUGACUUUGACCACAAGACCAGGAUGACAGAUACUCAACAUGCGAGCGGACACUCGUGCUCUCACCUUCCAUGACAUGCUCACCCUCUAAAGCUGCUGUCAGUCUUGGACACCUUCCCAUUCUAGCUGUCCAGAGAGGCCAGAAAUAUGUCACCAGACACAGCUGAACCAAAUCUGAACGUCCUUCCAAGAGCUCCCUGCACAAAUGCCUUCCACGAAUACAAACAAGCUGAGGGAAUUUCUCUACGAAGAUGGCUCAAGAUCCCCGCAACCACGGUAUCCUCUGUCAGGGAAACUUCUCUUUGGCUGGACGUAGUGGGCCAGAAGGCCAAGUGUGUCCUGAGAUGAUCCUUCCCAGAUGGCUGCUGAGGACUUUAUGCAAACUGGCUCUAGAAAUGUCACCGAACAGACUCAUCCGAACCCCAGUAGUGGAUGCCGCCAGCCCAGUUACAUGAAUCAUACCUUCCUCUUUUGUGCCAGAGUCACCAUUUUAAGCCAGAAGAUUUAAAAUCAUUCCAUCACCCUCAAAUCAUUUUGUCAUUCAGUUUCCAUCUAUCAUGCUAGAUGUCCUAAGUUUUGUCCUUGAUUCAAUUUUGUGCCAACUCGGUAAUAUUGAAUCAAAAUUCUAUUACCAAUUCAAACUAAAAGUGACAAAAACAGAAAGUCUUACAGUGCAAAGCAUAAGAUUGUUUCCAUUUGUCUGCUUAAUAUUACCUAUAAUCCUAACAUGAAAAGAUAGUUUCCACUACCAUUUUCUCGUAUGUUCUUUUAUAUCUUCUUGCUAUAUGCACAAUAUUUUUUAAAAGCAAUAAGAUCAUCACCAAUAGAUGCAGUUUUGCAAUCUGUUGUUUUGACUUUCAACAAGAGCCUGAAUUUCUCCCAUGUUCACUAAUGUUCUUCUACAAUAGUAUUUUUAAAGAAUAAAAAAUAUUUCUACAAUAUAAUGCA
rnacentral:lncRNA from 13 species